UGGGAGUUUCGGUCAUGGAGAAGAUGAUUGGGUCAGUUUUGACAGAAACCGACAAUGGACAUUGGGUGACUGAUGGUGGAGGAAUGCAGUUUUGGCGAAUCGAGUCUUGGUUUGGAAAAGAAGAAUGGUAAAAAUCUCGGGGUUGGAUAUGUUUUGCUUUGUGUUAUUGUACUAAUGAAGAUAUGGUUUUGGGAAUUGUUGAAUUGGAAUUAGUUGUGUUGCUUGAAUUAUAUUGGAACUUUGGUAUGGUAGUGAAAAGGGAAUUGAUAAUGGUUAAACGAAUAGAAAAGAGUAGUGAUGAUGAUAUGGUGCAAUGGUUAACCAGAUGGUGCUUUGCUUUAUUUUUGGUGACAUAACAUUAAUGAAAUUGCCAACUAUUUAUC